rnacentral:rRNA from 1 species
CGAUAACGAACGAGACCUCGACCUGCUAAAUAGUUCGGCGAACGCUUCGGCGUUCGUAUUCCGUGACUUCUUAGAGGGACUAUCGGUGUGUAGCCGAUGGAAGUUCGAGGCAAUAACAGGUCUGUGAUGCCCUUAGAUGUUCUGGGCCGCACGCGCGCUACACUGACAGAUUCAUCGAGUAGUUUUCCUUGACUGACAGGUCUGGGUAAUCUUUUCAACAUCUGUCGUGCUGGGGAUAGAUUAUUGUAAUUAUUAAUCUUCAACGAGGAAUUCCUAGUAAACGCAAGUCAUCAACUUGCAUUGAUUACGUCCCUGCCCUUUGUACACACCGCCCGUCGCUACUACCGAUUGAAUGGCUA